rnacentral:rRNA from 1 species
GGGAAUCUGCCCUUAGGUUCGGAAUAACAGUUAGAAAUGACUGCUAAUACCGGAUGAUGACGUAAGUCCAAAGAUUUAUCGCCUAGGGAUGAGCCCGCGUAGGAUUAGCUAGUUGGUGUGGUAAAGGCGCACCAAGGCGACGAUCCUUAGCUGGUCUGAGAGGAUGAUCAGCCACACUGGGACUGAGACACGGCCCAGACUCCUACGGGAGGCAGCAGUGGGGAAUAUUGGACAAUGGGCGCAAGCCUGAUCCAGCAAUGCCGCGUGAGUGAUGAAGGCCUUAGGGUUGUAAAGCUCUUUUACCCGGGAUGAUAAUGACAGUACCGGGAGAAUAAGCCCCGGCUAACUCCGUGCCAGCAGCCGCGGUAAUACGGAGGGGGCUAGCGUUGUUCGGAAUUACUGGGCGUAAAGCGCACGUAGGCGGCUUUGUAAGUUAGAGGUGAAAGCCUGGAGCUCAACUCCAGAACUGCCUUUAAGACUGCAUCGCUUGAAUCCAGGAGAGGUGAGUGGAAUUCCGAGU